rnacentral:rRNA from 1 species
UACGGAGGGUGCAAGCGUUGUUCGGAUUGACUGGGCGUAAAGGGCGUGUAGGCGGUUGGUCAAGUCGGGUGUGAAAGCCUGAGGCUCAGCCUCAGAAGUGCAUCCGAAACUAGCCAGCUAGAGCGCGAUAGAGGAGGGCGGAAUUCCUGGUGUAGCGGUGAAAUGCGUGGAUAUCAGGAGGAACACCGGCGGCGAAGGCGGCCCUCUGGCUCGUUGCUGACGCUGAGACGCGAAAGCGUGGGGAGCAAACAGG